rnacentral:lncRNA from 1 species
AGACAAAAGUCCGGCCCAUUCCAUUCACCUUAGGUGUCACUCUCCGCGAUCGAUUCGCCAGAGCUAUCAUUGCUCCAUCACCAUCAAUUCGAUCGUCUACCGUCUCCGGUCAGUCACAGCCACCGUCAAAUCUCCCGCGCCGCCCACCACAGCCUUCGCCGUAACGGAGCGAAGCAUCGACGCUCAUCACCGCCAAUCGGACUUCUCUCGUGCAAUUUCCCUCUCGUCUUAACGCAUUUGCAGAUUCCUUUUAAUCUCACGANNNN